AGAAGCUGAUUUUUUUACCCUUUUUUUCCUUUAUCUUAUUUUAUUAAUCUCCCUUUUUUUAUUAAUUUUACCAUAUUUUAGCUCAACAUAAUUUAUUUUAUUUUGCUUAUUUGAUUACUCUGUUUUUAGCUAGUUAAAAAAAAAAUAAAUAAAUAAAAAUAAAAAUAAGGAAUAACCCUUACGUUUUAAUUUGAAAUGUUGGUUAGCCAUUUUUUUUUUUUUUUUUGAUUCAAAAAACAAUAUUUAAAAAAAAAAAAAAAACCAAGUGCCUUAUUAUUAUAUAUAUUUUUUUUUAUAUAAAACAUUUUUAUAUAUUAUUUUUUAAUAUUUAAUAAUGCUAAUAAAAUAAUAAACUACUUUUCAUGAUUUCUAGGUUUGUUGUUUCUUUUUGUGUCAUUUUAUUUUUACAUUUAUUAUGUAUAUAUAUUAAGAUUUUAUUGAAUUUGUUAUACAGAAAUGAGUAAUAUAUUAAAUCACUUCCGUGUUUUAAAGGUAGUUACUGAAGAUAAUCCGUUAGUGACAUUUAAUUUAUUUGUAGCUAGUACGAAAGAUAAUACGAAUAAUGAUGGAUCAUGUAGUGAAAUAUUAUGUGUUGCUGUACUUGAUAAUAUAAUUAAUGGAGAACAUUUAAGAAAAUUUAUGACUAACUUUGGAGAUGUCGUUUUUUUUUAAUAUUACUGAGAAUGAAAAUUUAUCAAUAAACUUAAAAAUAUUUGCA
rnacentral:lncRNA from 1 species